AAAAUAUGAUAUUUUACUAGAUAAAACUGAUUACAAGGCCAUAAGCUUACUCAAAGAAAAAAGCUACAACAACUUAAAAUCCAAGCCCAGUAAUAUAACACCCUAUUAACAUGGACCCCUAAAAUUAUAUGGGCUUGACCGGUUCCAACUUCUACAGAGCCAUCACUUGAUCCUUUAUACUGCCACUAACUACCGAGAGUUAAUUGCGUAAAAUUAGUAACAACAAACAUGCAGGGCAAAAAAAAAACUAUCAUCAGCCACAAAGGAAAGUAAAAAAUGCCCUACCCAGAUGCAAAGGUUGCUGCACAAAUCCUUCGAAUUGGGGCUAAGACCAAUGCCGAACGAAUUGGGAAGAGGCUUGGUAAACUACAAACCUCUCAUUCUCGUGUAGCUUUGAUGGAAAUGGUGACCAAAUGGUACUAACACCUCUGAAUAUGCUAGCAACGGGGAGACCCCAUGAGUCAGAAGAUGAACCAUCUAAGCACAUAUUUGCUUCGAAUCCCUCACCAUGAAGCACAAAAACUACAGCUCAACUAAACAAAAUCCAACAAAGCUAUACAUAACUCAACUGAAAAGGGAGAGGGAUAAGCCACCCUUCGGAUGGAGAAGGAGUCUUCCCCAGCCUAAAGGGCAGGGGAUGUUCACUAAAUAAAAGACUGGAGACCGAAAACGGUAAAAGCGAGAAGAAGAUAGACUCUCUCACUCAAAGGAAACUAAACUAUCUAUCCUUUUUACCCAAAGGGUAGGGGAUGGCCACUGAACAAAGGAUUGAGAUUCAAGACUAGAGAGGAGACAGGAGAAGAGAGACAUUUAGGGUCCUAAGUUGCUAUUCUUUACGAAAAUUCAUUUCUUUGGCAAGUCCUGCAAAAGCUACACCAACGCUGCUAAGAGAUUUUCUCAAGUUUU
rnacentral:misc_RNA from 1 species